AACUGUGUUUAAUAGAAUAAACAGAAACAAUGAUAAGCGAAAAAACGGUGUGGGAAGAUUUAUCAGGAAUUUUUGCUGAUCCUCCAAAAAUGAGAAACAUGUGUGAAAAAUGCAAUGAGUCACAACAACGUUAAAAGAAGCAGUCUGGAAAAUAAUUUCAACGUUAGCAACAUCAAUGCAAGCAGUAUAGAAAAAAAUUAGUUUGAUGGAACACACGCAUCAACAAUCCAUGACAGUAUAAUGGAACAAAAUGAUUUGUAUAUAUUUUUAAAAGAUUAGUAAGUAAAUAUCUACUGAUAUAUUACGAUUCAAUAUAAUGAAAACUGAACGUUACAAUUCAGUUCAAGUGGACAAAAAACGUAAACUUCCAAACAAAAGACAGAGAAAAAAGAUAAAGCGUUUAAAGGAAGAAGAGAGUCAAAAAACUCAAGAAAAUGCAACCAAAUAAUUUUCCAAAAAUUUUACAGGUAAUUUGUAAUUACUUACCAUACAUUUACAAUAAGAAGGUUUUUUCCAACGAAAAUGUUGUACCAUAAGCGAAAAAAUAACUUAAAAUAUUUUUAAAAACUAUUGAAAUUGGUUCUUGCUUCUAUUAGAUAUAUUCAAACAAUAGUUUUCCAGAAAGUGUUAUCAACAUUUGUUUGCAAUGCUUGCGACGUCUACCAUAUUAACCUAUUGAUUCCCGAUGGACCAUUCCGUAGUCGUUUGGUUUUUUUAAAUCAAAAUACAAGAAUUAUAAAAACAUGUAAAGUUGGGUUCUUUCCUAUAUAAAAUCGCCUCGUCAUUUUGAUUCUAUCAUUACAUUUUUCAAAGUUUCAAUAUAAAAACCAAUAUGGCCACUCAAAGUGGAGAAAUUUUUUGCUUAAAAAGACGACCGUGGACAUGUAUAGUAGUUAAUAAUUACAUGUAGCAUCAUUUGAGCAGUCUAGUUAUAGAAUCUCUAGGUCGAAAAAUUAUAAUUUAUAAUUAGGUUUCCAUUUUUCUAAAAUGGUAGACUUCAAAUUGAGACUUGAUGUUUACAAAAUUAACUUUUUCCCGAAAAUGUGGGUGACUACUUAUUUUAUAAGCUUUCGGGAACACAUAAUUCAAAUAUACAAGAUAAUUUUUAUUUUUUCAAAUAUCUAAUUGUAAAUUAGAAAACCAUUCCACACUUACCUAUUUUUAUUGUCCUUAUUUCUUUUCUAAGCCAAAGAGCAAACAAGUACGAAAUAGUUCAUUAGGACUUGUUAACAUAUUAUUAUUAUUAUUAUUAUUAUUAUUAUUAUUACACCAUUAAGCCAACAUAAAUGAGACAUUAAAUGAAAUGUUGAUAUAAGUUGCAAUUAUAGAGAUUUAAUGUAAAUCAAAUUAGGUAAAUUAAAAGGCUUGGAGAUUGGGCUCAUUUAAUGUUCUUGAAGUUAUAAAUUUACUUAAAGUAAGGGCUUUUAACUUAUACGCAAUUACGGCGCCAUUUACAACCUUUUUGCCGGUGAAUGAUUUCCAUAUAACUACAAAAUGGCAAGUAUACACCCCAUUUUCAGUUAGAUAAAUCGUACAAUAUUGGUUAUAUUCAUUUUACAACUUAUACAUUAUUAAUCAAAAUUAUAUGCGACACAGUUUAUAAACUCUGCUAUUUUCUUACUCAUUGCUUUGUAGAGUUUUCAAUAUUUUGGUACGAGAUUAAAUUUCAAAUAAUAAGAGUACAAAUACGUUUAAACCUGGAUUAACCUUACUGUUUAUCCAACAUGCAAACAAAAAAUGUAAGCCUUUAGUGAUCAUUUCAAAUUAUGCUUCAACUCAUUUUCCACUGCUUUUACACGCCGAAAACGUUUUAAAUAAUUAGAAAACCUUUUCAUCAUUCUGUACAACAACGGAUGGUAGAUUCUAGAAACUAGAUCGAAGUCUAUGAGUAGGAGCGUGAAAAGAAUGUACAUUUUUGUGUUUCCAAGAAGUUCGAAGCUGUACGUUUGAUAUGCAGAUAUAGAAAUAUCUCUGUCAUCUAGCAAUUUUGUAUUUCUAAAAUUGAGAUGGCAGAUUAUCCGCACCUAUUAUUUGUAUAAUUCUGAAAGGCUCACUAUUUUUUAACCUCUUUCGGGUUCUUUAGUACGUUUGGUAGAUGAUUCAUUUUCAAAUUACACAAGCAGAAAUACGUUCAGACAUCGAUUAACGUUACUUUUUAUCAACAAUUAAAAUGUUCAACUUUCGAUAUCUGCAUUGUUGAUAAAGACUUGAUGUCAUUGGUUAGCCAUGACAUCGUUUAAAUUUUAAUAUUAUUUAUGUUAAUUUAGUAUUUUUUAUUCAUCCUUGCAUGAAAAUCUAUAAUUGUUAUAAGCGUAUCGGUGAAUAGAUUUAUGAUGAUACAAAGUUUUUUUGGUGAAGGUCAAAGAAAUAAAUAAUUACGCUUAUUUUAAUAGAUUAUAAUUAUGAGACAACAAACAUCUUUAUAAGAUCAAUGAUUGGCUCAGAUUUAUCUGAGUUUGUGUGAUGCUUAUAAGUCUAUUGUCCUUUAUCAAAAGAACUCUUGUAACACCAUAAUGCGGUGAACAUUCGCGUGAUGAAAAAAUAUCAUAAAUAUAAUGAUAGGAAAUUGCAACUAUCUUACCUAAGUACUAUCCUGUUUCUGUUUUAUUCCUAAUGCUUUUUAAUUUACCUACUUAACUCUUGCUUUCAAUUGUUUGGGAUUAAAAAAAAAUGCUUCUUUAAAAGAACACUCUUUUUUUGAAACAAUUACAAUUUCUGAAUUCUUUAUAUUUUUUAUAUUUUUUACUCGUUUAGCAUUUAGUUAGAGCUUAGUAAUAUUAUAGAUGACUGCUUAUGAUACAGAUUGCUAGUUCAUGUUGUAGUAUACUACGAUUUUGGCAGCAAACGUCUGGUUCAUAAUGUAUCAAUUUAACUUUUACUGAACAAUUUUUUCUAAUUAUUACAUAGAAAUAGAUUUUUAAAAAGUAUUUUGGAGGUCAAUGAAUUAUACUGUUAGAGAUUCGUGUUUUCUCAAAAUACUUUGGGGGUAUAUUUGAAAUUUUUAUCUAAAAUAUUUUUAAGUUUGAUACUUACGUUGUUGGUCAAAAAGUUAAGCUUUUGUAAAUGUUUUAACAUUCGAGAAAAGAAACAUUUAUUUGCUGUUUUAUUGGCUCGCUCAUAUUCGAACGCAAAACUUGAGUACAAAGCUAAAACUGUAAACACUUUAAAAUACAGAUACAUUAAUGGUUAAACAUACAUCUACUAAUAUAAUUAUAUUUUGAAUAUGCACAAACAACUGAUUGUUCAAAACGUAAUGUUCUAUCUAAAAAUAUUUUGAUUAACUAAUGUCAAUUCAAAACAUAAAGCAUAGUUCAGUAAAUUAUUAGGAAAUGAUACAGUUACUUGAUGCAAAUAAUUUGGAACGUUGUUUCUAUAAGCGCGCAUGGAAAACUACAAUUCUAAAUAAUACUUGCAUUUUCAUUUUGUAUGAAUCAAAUAAUUGUCGUAGAUUACGUAUAAAUAAUGUAAUAUGUAUAAUAUUUAUCGAUUUUCUUAUAACUUUAUAUACAUUAAAAACGUUGUUAAUUAUUUUAACUAUAUUUUGAUUAUUUAAUGGCCAUAAUUUUGGUGUGCAGUAAUCUUAGAAACUAAAAUUACCCAAAAAAUAACCACGUUUUAACCAAUUAAGUAAUUUUUAUCCAAAAACUUCAUUUGCUUAAAAAAUUUGGUGCAAAAAUCGUGACAAUCGAUAUACCCUCGAAACAAUUUAGUAACGAUAAAAUGUUUUUUAUUCCUCUAAUCUCAAUAUGACAUCUUUAAAAUUGAAUGUUUGAGUAUCAGAUUAAUAAGUAAUAUGCCAGCUAAUGUGUUCUCUUAAAAAUGCAUACAAUCUGCACAUAGGUUCGUGUACUCGAUGGUAUUGUGUGUACGUGUUCGCGUUCGUGUGUUGCUCACUAUAUCUAACAUCUUGACCGAUUUUUCCCAUAUCAGGUCUUAUUAAAAUAUUUUUGAAUAAUGAAAGCGGCUAAAGAAAAUAAUGUUAAUUUUUCAUACGUUUUAAUUAAUUUAUAUAUGAUUGCGUUUGAAUUUAAUUUCCAUUUUGUGCGCGCUCUAAAAUAUAUGUAAAUAUAACCUCAAAAUCUAGCAAUAAUUUUUUAUUUUACGUUACUUCUGAUGGCUUUACUAAUCCGGCAUCAAACUUCCUGGGCUCACUUGUUUAAGAUAGAAUAUUCCUCGACUUGUGCGUAACGUAGCUGUCUACAUUUUACUUAGAAAGAUACGUAAUAACAAGUUAUGUAAGAGAUAUAAUUUUGUAGUCCGAUUGAUAAAAAGGAUUUGUUUUCAGUUUAUUUUAGGUCCAUGACUAUUUAAAAAUUUUUAAGGAGGCUACAUCUUGGAAAGUUUCUUGGUUUCUUUUUGUAUUUUAUUUGUAAUUAAUUGAUAGAAACAUUUUUAAAGUUUUAUAAAUAGAAAUCUAGUUUGAGUAACCUUAGUACUUAAGUGCAAAUUCGUCGGCAAUUAAAUACUUUGCAUAUUGUCUUGAUUUGAAUUACGUGCAUUAAAUGUACUAGAUAAUAUUUUUAUAUAAGUUUCUAAUGUUGUAAAUGUAUGCUAAUUUU